rnacentral:ncRNA from 1 species
ACGGUUCCUCCGGAUCUCGUCCGGAGGUGAAAAGGGAAUCCGGGCGUCUUCCUUGAAAGGCGAAACCGGAGCUGCCCCCGCAACUGUAAGCGGCGAGCAUCCUUUCCAUCAAAGCCACUGGCGCGUCAUGCGCCGGGAAGGCGGAAAGAAUGCAAAGACCCGCGAGCCAGGAGACCUGCCGCGACG